rnacentral:rRNA from 1 species
GACGAACGCUGGCGGCGUGCUUAACACAUGCAAGUCGAACGGAAAGGCCCUGCUUUUGUGGGGUGCUCGAGUGGCGAACGGGUGAGUAACACGUGAGUAACCUGCCCUUGACUUUGGGAUAACUUCAGGAAACUGGGGCUAAUACCGGAUAGGAGCUCCUGCUGCAUGGUGGGGGUUAGAAAGUUUCGGCGGUUGGGGAUGGACUCGCGGCUUAUCAGCUUGUUGGUGGGGCAGUGGCUUACCAAGGCUUUGACGGGUAGCCGGCCUGAGAGGGUGACCGGCCACAUUGGGACUGAGAUACGGCCCAGACUCCUACGGGAGGCAGCAGUGGGGAAUAUUGCACAAUGGGCGGAAGCCUGAUGCAGCAACGCCGCGUGCGGGAUGACGGCCUUCGGGUUGUAAACCGCUUUCGCCUGUGACGAAGCGUGAGUGACGGUAAUGGGUAAAGAAGCACCGGCUAACUACGUG